rnacentral:rRNA from 1 species
UCUGUCUUAGUGGCGGACGGGUGAGUAACGCGUGGGCAACCUGCCCUGUACCGGGGGAUAACACUUAGGAAUAGGUGCUAAUACCGCAUAAUAGGGAAUACCGCAUGGUAAUCCUUUGAAAACUCCGGUGGUACAGGAUGGGCCCGCGUCUGAUUAGCCAGUUGGCGGGGUAACGGCCCACCAAAGCGACGAUCAGCAGCCGGCCUGAGAGGGUGGACGGCCACACUGGGACUGAGACACGGCCCAGACUCCUACGGGAGGCAGCAG